rnacentral:rRNA from 1 species
CUCUUCGGAGAUGAGUAAAGUGGUGCACAGGUGAGUAACGCGUGGGUAAUCUGCCCUUAGGUUUGGGAUAACCCCGGGAAACCGGAGCUAAUACCGAAUGAGACCACGAUGACUUCGGUCGACGUGGGAAAAGGUGGCCUCUUCUUGAAAGCUAUCGCCGAAGGAUGAGCCCGCGUUUGAUUAGCUAGUUGGUGAGGUAAUGGCUCACCAAGGCGACGAUCAAUAGCUGGUCUGAGAGGAUGAUCAGCCACACUGGAACUGAGACACGGUCCAGACUCCUACGGGAGGCAGCAGUCAGGAAUAUUGGGCAAUGGGCGAAAGCCUGACCCAGCAACGCCGCGUGAAGGAUGAAGGCCUUCGGGUUCGUAAACUUCUGUCGAGAGGGAAGA